rnacentral:rRNA from 1 species
UACGGGGGGGGCAAGCGUUGUUCGGAAUUACUGGGCGUAAAGGGCUCGUAGGCGGCCAACUAAGUCAGACGUGAAAUCCCUCGGCUUAACCGGGGAACUGCGUCUGAUACUGGAUGGCUGGAGUUUGGGAGAGGGAUGCGGAAUUCCAGGUGUAGCGGUGAAAUGCGUAGAUAUCUGGAGGAACACCGGUGGCGAAGGCGGCAUCCUGGACCAAUACUGACGCUGAGGCGCGAAAGCUAGGGGAGCAAACGGG